CCGGCCGCCUCCGAGGCUGGCGAAGGGCUGACAUUGCCGGAGUGAAAAAACGGAGGAAUCCGGGCCAAUUCGCGCACCUGUGGUGCUUCCACGGAAUCACUUAGGUUGGAAAAGACCUCCGAGAUCACCGAGUCCAACUCUUCCUGGCUCUGGAUGCACUGAGUUAUCCUUUUUCCCACGUGUGGACGUACUCCUGUUCUCCUCACUUCUAGACAACUUAAGUAGAGAAGGAUGAGGCACAAAGAGGAGGAACUCGCCCAGGUCCCACCCGGCACUGCAGAAGGAACCAGAAUUACCAGCCCUCGCUCUGCCUCGCCCAGGGUGUGCCCUGAUGGAAACAAACUGUCCGACAUUUUCUCCAAACACACUUCUGCUGCUGCACAGCCCUGAACAUAUUUUGACUUGAUCUUCAUUAUGAAGUGAAUUAUUUCUUUGCUAGAGGAAGAAGAAUCCCAGUGAGCAGCAGCCGAAUGUCAGGUCCACAACACUUCAGUUUUCAUUCCCAGCCAUGAGGCUGUCGUUUCAGCACCAACACAAAUUUCAAGCAGUGUCACUCUCUCCAAAGCUUGGCCCGAAGAACUGACUUAAAAAUGUUUUCAUAAGAGAGAACCAUGGUCGCCCUGGGAUAUGAGGAGCUCAAAGCAAAUAAUUCUUCCCAUUAAAAAUAAAAAUAUUGACCUUU